rnacentral:lncRNA from 1 species
AUGCCACAAACAUAUUUUUAUAAUAAUCAGGUAAAGACCCACCGGGACGAGCUGCCUUCUUCCUCCGAGAGCACACCUCCUCCCAGAUGCUACGAGAAUAGCAAGGGGAUACAUGUUACAUUGCCAGCAAGCAGAAGGUCCUUUGCAAGAGGUCAGCGGUGGGACUUUGCGAGCACCGCCUCUUCAGACCCCGGCGGCAUCAGCCAGCAGGCGGCGCGUUUCCCCGCCCGGAAAUCCGUCUGCUCCCGCGGAGGCCCAGCUGCCGCAGGCUGCGACUCCUCUCCCGAUUAAAUGAAUUGGUGAAAUAGUGGAGCACAGGAUGGAAAAAGCCUGGUGUCUUAACCACUGUGGAAGCUCAUCUACUGACACGGUACUGUGACGUGACUGUCUUCAAAUUUAAUUUCUGUUUCUUUAAGCCUGUGGAUAUUUGCUUUGCAAUAUUUCAGGUUGCGGCAGUUUUCACAACCAGAGCUUCUGAACUCUUUGAAGGAUUUUAAUAAGU